GGAUUUUCCAUGGCCCCAGGAGUCUUGGUCUCAUUGGGGAUAAUGCAUCGCACAAAGUGGGGAUGAGUUGAUCUCAGGUGCCCUUUGCAGUUGAGAGAAGGAGGAACCAUUUUACUCAGGGACCUUGUUGGGCAUUGACAUCCAUCAAAAGGGACCAUGCCUUUUAUGGCACCCACCCACCCAGCCAACAGCAGAGCACACACAAAACAUCUUCAGCUCUUUAUUUGGGAAGGUAGGUGCUCUUUUCCAUUUCUCAAUAAGGCACAUUGGGGUGAAUUUUGGUAAUGUGAGUCACUUUUAUUAAAUUUAACUUCUUAAACUUAUUGAUACAUUAAUGUAUUAUUUUAGCCUAUUUUAUACUUUAACAUCUUAUGUCUGCCAAAAAGUGCUGAUACACUUUCCUGUAGCAGGCCAUGACUGUUGUUUGUUAUUAUUCACUGUUGCUUUAGGACAUAUAUGCUUUAGAACAAAAUUUGCUUAGAUAAUUCAUAGGUACAUGAGUUUGCAGUAUUUUAAGAAUUUCCAUCCUAAAUAGUUUAUUAAACAUUAGUGUUGUACAAAGCAGCAAAGAGUAGCAGAUAUUUUUAGUCCUUUGCCAAGAUAAAACAUAACUAACAAAGCAGCACAGAGCUGUACCAAAUAAGAUUUUCAGAGCCUUCUAUGUAUUUGGCGCUCAUUCAGAGGAAAUUGUAAUUUAAAUGUUACAGAGGUAGGCAAACCUCUUGAUGGAGGACUUUUCCUAAAAGUCUGCUGAUUAGAUCUUAUGUUUCUUUUAUCUCCUUUGAGAACUGAUUUAUCAUGUUGCCUGAAAAUGCAUGGACAACCACCUGUCAUUCUCAGCUCAAGCACUGGUCAAACUCCACAUGAUUUCUCAUGCCCUUUGUGCCUCAAAUAAAGCUCAACUUAAAUAACUACUGAUCAAAAGUCAAGGAAGAUAUUCCUCAAGACUACUCUUUGUGCUGGCAGUCAUGUGCAGAAUGAACCUUGACUGCUUGUCCAUAUAGUCUCCAUAGAGGAUCCUGUUGGGGAAGCCCUUUCUGCAGAUUCUGAUGCCCUCCAACACACCAUUACAGCGGAGCUGAUGCAUG